rnacentral:rRNA from 1 species
CUUGCUAUGAUAAAAAUUAGUGGCAGACGGGUGAGUAAUGCAUAGGAAUCUACCUAGUAGUAUGGGAUAGCCACUAGAAAUGGUGGAUAAUACUGUAUAAUCCCUGCGGGGGAAAGAUUUAUCGCUAUUAGAUGAGCCUAUGUUAGAUUAGCUAGUUGGUAGGGUAAAGGCCUACCAAGGCAGMGAUCUAUAGCUGGUCUGAGAGGAUGAUMAGCCACACUGGAACUGAGAUACGGUCCAGACUCCUACGGGAGGCAGCAGUGGGGAAUAUUGGACAAUGGGCGCAAGCCUGAUCCAGCUAUGCCGCGUGAGUGAGGAAGGCCUUAGGGUUGUAAAACUCUUUCAGUGGGGAAGAUAAUGACGGUACCUACAGAAGAAGUCCCGGCAAACUCCGUGCCAGCAGCCGCGGUAAUACGGAGGGGGCAAGCGUUGUUCGGAAUUAUUGGGCGUAAAGGGCAUGUAGGCGGUUCGGUAAGUUAAA